rnacentral:piRNA from 1 species
UAUGGCCAGACUAAGUAUACUCUUAAGC